CAAUAGUUACUACUUACUACUCUCCCUCUCUCUCUCUGUGUAAACAGCUCUACCUAAGGUUAUCGGACCCAUCCACAUGUUGCCAUCAAGGUUUCUCUCCAAAACAAGGCUUUUAGUCUCAGAGGCUUUGGGGUUACUUACAAUCAUGGUUCCACAGGUCGGUCAAGCCGACGUGACAUAACGGUGGAGAUCCUAAGAGCCAAUUGGAAUCUACCAAGUAGCUUCGAGUCAAAAGAUUAGGAAGAACAUGAGCCACAAGUUGAAGCAAAUGGUGGGUCAGUCAAAAGAUGAAUAAGGUUGGUUAUAUCAACAUCACCGAUGGGUCUGUUUAUACAAAAACCAAUUUGCAUAUGAUCACCAUCAUAUUCAUAGUAACAAAACAUGCACAAGUCCAUCAGCGUUUGUCACAUCUCUGUCACCUUUUGGGAAUAUGAUAAAACUCGAUAUUAUCAAUUUUGGCUUUAUUAGA